rnacentral:rRNA from 1 species
GACGAAGCGACGCCGCGUGAGUGAUGAAGGCCUUCGGGUUGUAAAGCUCUGUCACUUGGGAGGAAGAUCCUUGACAUCAAUAAUGUCAAGGGUUGACAGUACCAAGAGAGGAAGCCCCGGCUAACUCCGUGCCAGCAGCCGCGGUAAUACGGAGGGGGCGAGCGUUGUUCGGAUUUAUUGGGUGUAAAGGGUGUGUAGGCGGUCUUGUAAGUCAGGUGUGAAAUCCCUUGGCUUAACCAAGGAAGUGCACUUGAAACUGUGGGACUUGAGUAUAAGAGAGGAGAGUGGAAUUCCCGGUGUAGAGGUGAAAUUCGUAGAUAUCGGGAAGAACACCGGUGGCGAAGGCGACUCUCUGGCUUAAUACUGACGCUGAAACACGAAAGCUGGGGGAGUGAACGGGAUUAGAUACCCCGGUAAUCCCAGCCGUAAACGAUGGGCACUAGGUGUAGGAGGUUUAUACCUUCUGUGCCGCAGCUAACGCAUUAAGUGCCCCACCUGGGGAGUACGGUCGCAAGACUGAAACUCAAAGGAAUUGACGGGGACCCGCACAAACGGUGGAGCAUGUGGUUUAAUUCGACGAUACGCGAGGAACCUUACCAGGGUUUGACAUGUAUCUGAAAGCCUCAAGAAAUUGGGGCCCUCCCUCUGGGACGGAUACACAGGUGUU